CUACGUUUCAGUUAAUUCGGUUGAAUUAUUUCCAAGAUAUUAGAUGUUCUUGUUUUGGUAAACAUUUACACUUGCAUUUGUUGCUGCGAUUUUAGGUGCGAUUUGCUUCAUCUGAUGGAUAUGAACGAGUGGAAGAAUUAUGAAUGUUGAGAUGGGGGUACAUAUAGCCUACUCGGAGCAUUAGAAGACGAAAAUCGCACCUAAAAUCGCAGCAAAAAUUGCAAGUGUAAACAGGCCUUUUGAAUACAUCAAUGUUUGCAUGUUUGCGUGGUGAUGAAAUGUGUGAAGGUACCACAAGUUCUAGAAUUAUUUUUUUAUAAGUUACACUACUAAUGCCAAUCAUGGGUCAGUUUACUGCACGGAAACGAUUAUACUGUCAAAAUAGUCAAAUAGAUUAGUAGAAUUUCAGAUUUUGACACGGUACUUGUUGCACUAAAUUCAUUUUCCUACAUUGUUAAAUUGUCGGGCAGUUAUAUUUUUGAUCACCAAAUAUAAUUGCAAAGAUACAAGCGGUUUCAUAAAGCUAACAGACACACUGGACAAAUGCACAUGUUCCAAUACAACAAAACGGAUUUCUUUCUAGUAACAUGUAAAAAUUUAUAUGUUUGAAUAAAAUUUAUUGCUUGCCG